rnacentral:lncRNA from 1 species
AGAAUAGUAGAAAACAAAUAUGGAAAAUGAAAUUAGCAAACACCAUUAAAAAGAUAACUGAUAAUUUCAUCAAAGAGUCGAUAUAAACAAGUUCGACAACACUUGUAAAGAAAACAAAACCAGACAAAGAUAGUUCAAUACUAUCACAAACGAAAGAUAGUUCACUGCUAUCACAAACGAAAGAUAGUUCACUGCUAUCACAAACGAAAGACAUAAGACGGUGCAUAAUGCUCCAAGGAAAAUUAACAUAUAUAAGAACAGAAUAACAAACUGACUAAUACAACCAGGUACUGACACGGCCUUUCGAAGAAUCUCUUCUCCCAUCAGCAACUCGUACAGCCAC